rnacentral:rRNA from 1 species
AAAUUGAAGAGUUUGAUCAUGGCUCAGAUUGAACGCUGGCGGCAGGCCUAACACAUGCAAGUCGAACGGUAACAGGAAGCAGCUUGUUGCUUCGCUGACGAGUGGCGGACGGGUGAGUAAUGUCUGGGAAACUGCCUGAUGGAGGGGGAUAACUACUGGAAACGGUAGCUAAUACCGCAUAAUGUCGCAAGACCAAAGAGGGGGACCUUCGGGCCUCUUGCCAUCGGAUGUGCCCAGAUGGGAUUAGCUUGUUGGUGGGGUAACGGCUCACC